UAGGGAACCUCUGUUUGCGUGCAAGAGAAAAAAAUUCUUUUUUUUCUUUUUUUCUUCCUCAUUCUAGCCGCACGAAGCCUUCUUCACCCAGCUACUCCGCCGCCGCCUCCUCGCGCCUCAGCCCAGCGCGUCUCGCCCGUCGUUCGCUGCUCGAUCGUGAGUCUCCAACCGCGCAAGGUUCUGAUCGUUUCAGCCACGCGAAGUUUCGUUCGUUUCCAACCGUGUCGUCGCUUCUUCGAUUGUUUUUCUUCUGUUUCCGUUCUGCGUCCGCCAGUCGCCGACUGUUCCGGUUUUGCCAAGAACGUGGUUUUGGAUUCAAGACAUUUUGUCGAUGCUGUCCAGCAGUAUCAAGGUUUGCUUGGGCGCCUUUUGGACUAUUUUGGAUUCCGUCCUUGGAGCUCAGUGUAGUUCUGGUUACGUUGGCAUUCUUUUGGGGCAAUUCGAGUGUCUGAUUCGAGUGUCUGAUUCAAGACAAAGAGGGUUGGUUGAUAAUUGGAGUUUGGUUGCUAACUGUUCGACAUAAUUUCGAGGUAAGGGUAAUGAUAGACUGACGCAUGACAAGAGAGAUCCAUCACCUGGCCAUUAGGACGACUUACUGCUUCUGCACUUAGUAUCAUGUUUUGGAGUCUGGUUUAGGAGUUAGGCGUUUUAAACUCUCAUGCAAUAUUCAUUAAUUUUAUUAUUUGACUAUUUAAUUGUUUUUCAUUUUAAAGUUGGGUUUAGGUGUACCCCGAACGGUAAAUUUCUAUUUUAUUUUAUUUUUGUUUUAGUUUAUUUAUUAUUAUUUAUUUAUGUUUUCUUAUCUUUGCUCAUUUGAGCACUAUUAAAUAAAAUUUUGCCUCUUUUAUUAUUUGUUUAGGAAAAAGAAAUGUACGGUUAAGCCUAUGCAUGUAUGAAAUAGCGUCCUAGAAGUAAGUAGGAAAGUAGGGUCAUUACAUAGAGUACGUUAGUGAUAGAAUUAUAAUAUAUGACUUAUAUAGACCAUUUUAUUGAUAGACUCUAAUAUGUUAUAAGAUUGUUUAUGGAUGAUAGACUUUGAUAGAUUGUUUAUGAAAAUAGUCUUUACUUUUUUUUUUUUUUUUUUAAUUUUGGUAUUUUCGCCAUAUUGGCUGCUAUCAUAAAUAGAUUUCAAGUAACAAAUUAAAGUCUAUCAACAUUAAUAGAAGUGAAAGAAUGAAAAAAUAUACUAAUUAUGGACUGUGAUAAACUUUUAUAGAAGUAUAUAGAAGUGAUAGAAGUCUAUCAUUAAUAGUCAGUUAUAAAAGUCGAUCAUUGAUAGCACUGAAAAUGAGCUAUCUUGCUCCACUUAAUUCUAGAUUGGUCUUGUAUUUUAUGUGUUUAUUUAUUAU